CACGUAGGGCGCAAGCGUUGUCCGGAAUUAUUGGGCGUAAAGAGAUCGUAGGCGGUCUGUUGCGUCUGCUGUGAAAACCCGGGGCUUAACCCCUGGCUUGCAGUGGAUACGGACAGACUAGAGGUAGGUAGGGGAGAAUGGAAUUCCCGGUGUAGUGGUGAAAUGCGUAGAUAUCGGGAGGAACACCAGUGGCGAAGGCGACUACCUGGCCUGUUCUUGACGCUGAGGCGCGAAAGCUAGGGGAGCAAACGGG
rnacentral:rRNA from 1 species